rnacentral:antisense_RNA from 1 species
AAUAACCAAAUAUGAUGCUUGGACUAAGGGUCAAGUUGGUAAUUUUUCUUACAUCUCCUCUCUCAAAGUCCAGGUAUCAUAUACUCCUCAAAUAUAAAAAGUCUUGAAUACAAAAAAAAAAAACACUUAAACAAGAUUAAGUGAAUACCUAAAAUUCUGGUCAUUUUAUUUCGAUCUUUUCA